CAGAGCAAGUAGGUCUCCAUAUUCCAAGACCAGAUGAGGAGGUCCAGACUGGAUUUUCCUGGAAUGUUGGCACUGACCUGGACUGAACCCAUCUUUAUGAAGAGUACAAAAGAUGAGACAGACAGAUUAAUAAGUGCCUGAAACCAGGAAGUUGGAGACCCAUGCACUGUCUGAGCACCUGGGAGAGCCUGCAGGAAGUCAAACAACGAGAAUCCCAGGCCUCCAAGAUUCCCCUGUCACUUAGCAGGAGGUGGGUGUGAACUUGUGCUGUUCUUGCACAAGCCCCAGGAGUAUAAAGGCUGGAGCCACCCACGGAGGUGCACACGGGCAGGCAGUCCAUCAGCACAAAGGCAAUCAGGGGCUGAACCCAGGUGCUAAGACGUGUAAUUCCCAGCAGACAGCAGAUCAGAGAGGCUCUGCCAGAGCAGACAGGAAAACCUGAAGGGGAAAGAUGCACUACGCGUGUUGGUGGGCGGGGUUGAUACAGCACCACGCAGGGCCGCAUCCAUGGCCCCCCCCUCCGACGUCUAGACUUGCAUCCUGAGUGCAGGCCCUCUCUCCCUGGUUGCUUCCACCUAUCUAAUGCUCAGAACAUCUUGGGGGGAACCAUUUUCUGGAAUUUGAUGUUUAUUAUUCUCAUACAAAACUUUACUCUCACUACAUGCGAUCAUCAAUAAAUAAUGGUAUUUUCACAUGCUUUAACUUAGUGGGAUGAUAAAUGUAAAUAAUAUAAUCAAUAUAGUAUUAAUAAAUUAUAUUAAUAAUAUUUUAUAU